rnacentral:rRNA from 1 species
CGCGGCCUAUCAGCUUGUUGGUGAGGUAACGGCUCACCAAGGCAUCGACGGGUAGCUGGUCUGAGAGGACGAUCAGCCACACUGGGACUGAGACACGGCCCAGACUCCUACGGGAGGCAGCAGUAGGGAAUCUUGCGCAAUGGGGGCAACCCUGACGCAGCAACGCCGCGUGUGGGAUGACGGCUUUCGGGUUGUAAACCACUUUCAGUGAUGACGAAAAUGACGGUAAUCACAGAAGAAGGUCCGGCCAACUACGUGCCAGCAGCCGCGGUAACACGUAGGGACCGAGCGUUGUCCGGAUUUAUUGGGCGUAAAGAGCUCGUAGGCGGUUCUGUAAGUCGGAUGUGAAAACUCAGGGCUCAACCCUGAGACGCCAUCUGAUACUGCAGUGACUAGAGUCCGGUAGAGGAAGAUGGAAUUCCUGGUGUAGCGGUGGAAUGCGCAGAUAUCAGGAGGAACGCCAACGGCGAAGGCAGUCUUCUGGGCCGGUACUGACGCUGAGGAGCGAAAGCAUGGGGAGCAAACAGGAUUAGAUACCCUGGUAGUCCACGCCGUAAACGGUGGGAACUAGAUG